rnacentral:tRNA from 1 species
GGGGCUGUAACUCAGUGGUAAGAGUGCCUGUGGUGUCUAGCAGGAAGUCGCGAGUACCCUACGGGAAGUCUGCGCCUACGACUCUCGUCAUCCCCG